rnacentral:rRNA from 1 species
GAUGAACGCUGGCGGCGUGCCUAAUACAUGCAAGUCGAACGCUGGAAAUCUAGCUUGCUAGAUUGAAGGAGUGGCGAACGGGUGAGUAAUACAUAAGCAACCUACCCACGAAGACUGGGAUAAUCUCUGGAAACGGGGACUAAUACCGGAUAGGUAAUCGGAAGGCAUCUUCUGAUUAUUAAAGGUUAAAAACACUGGUGGAUGGGCUUAUGGCGCAUUAGUUAGUUGGUGAGGUAACGGCACACCAAGACGAUGAUGCGUAGCCGGCCUGAGAGGGUGAACGGCCACAUUGGGACUGAGACACGGCCCAGACUCCUACGGGAGGCAGCAGUAGGGAAUUUUCGGCAAUGGGGGAAACCCUGACCGAGCAACGCCGCGUGAGUGAUGACGGCCUUCGGGUUGUAAAGCUCUGUUGUAAGGGAAGAACGGUAGAUAGAGAAUAUCUAAAUGACGGUACCUUACCAGAAAGCCACGGCUAACUACGUG